rnacentral:rRNA from 1 species
AACGAACGCUGGCGGCAUGCCUAACACAUGCAAGUCGAGCGAAACCUUCGGGUCUAGUGUCGCACGGUUUCGUAACGCGUGGGAACCUGCCCUUAUGGUCGGAAUAACUCCCCGAAAGGGGUGCUAAUGCCGAAUAAUGUCUUCUGACCAAAAAUUUAUCGCCCUUGAAUGUGCCCACGUGGGAUUAGCUAGUUGUGAGGGUAAAAGCCUCUCAAGGCGACGAUCCAUAGCUGGGAUGAGAGGAUGAUCAGCCACACUGAGACUGAGACACGGCCCAGAAUCUUCCGGGAGGCAGCAGUGGGGAAUAUUGGACAAUGGGCGAAAGCAUGAUCCAGCAAUGCUGGGUGAGUGCUGAAGGCCUUAGGGUUGUAAAGCUCUUUUACCCGGGAUGAUAAUGACAGUACCGGGAGAAUAAGCUCCGGCUAACUCCGUG